GACGGAGGAUGCAAGUGUUAUCCGGAAUCACUGGGCGUAAAGCGUCUGUAGGUGGUUUAAUAAGUCAACUGUUAAAUCUUGAGGCUCAACCAUCAAAAUCGCAGUACGAAACUAUUAGGCUAGAGUAUAGUAGGGGUAAAGGGAAUUUCCAGUGGAGCGGUGAAAUGCGUAGAGAUUGGAAAGAACACCGAUGGCGAAGGCACUUUACUGGGCUAUUACUAACACUCAGAGACGAAAGCUAGGGUAGCAAAUGGG
rnacentral:rRNA from 1 species